GACGAACGCUGGCGGCGUGCUUAACACAUGCAAGUCGAACGGAAAGGCCCCCUUGUGGGGUACUCGAGUGGCGAACGGGUGAGUAACACGUGAGUAACCUACCCUUGACUUUGGGAUAACUUCAGGAAACUGGGGCUAAUACCGGAUAGGAGCUCCUGCUGCAUGGUGGGGGUUGGAAAGUUUCGGCGGUUGGGGAUGGACUCGCGGCUUAUCAGCUUGUUGGUGGGGUAGUGGCUCACCAAGGCUUUGACGGGUAGCCGGCCUGAGAGGGUGACCGGCCACAUUGGGACUGAGAUACGGCCCAGACUCCUACGGGAGGCAUCAGUGGGGAAUAUUGCACAAUGGGCGGAAGCCUGAUGCAGCAACGCCGCGUGCGGGACGACGGCCUUCGGGUUGUAAACCGCUUUCGCCUGUGACGAAGCGUGAGUGACGGUAAUGGGUAAAGAAGCACCGGCUAACUACGUG
rnacentral:rRNA from 1 species